rnacentral:rRNA from 1 species
UACGUAGGGUGCGAGCGUUAAUCGGAAUUACUGGGCGUAAAGCGUGCGCAGGCGGUUCGUUAAGUUCGUCGUGAAAGCCCCGGGCUCAACCUGGGAAUGGCGAUGGAAACUGGCGGGCUGGAGUGCGGCAGAGGGGGGUGGAAUUCCGCGUGUAGCAGUGAAAUGCGUAGAGAUGCGGAGGAACACCGAUGGCGAAGGCAGCCCCCUGGGCUAGCACUGACGCUCAGGCACGAAAGCGUGAGGAGCAAACAGG